rnacentral:rRNA from 1 species
UACGUAGGGUCCGAGCGUUGUCCGGAAUUACUGGGCGUAAAGAGCUCGUAGGUGGUUUGUCGCGUUGUUCGUGAAAACUCACAGCUCAACUGUGGGCGUGCGGGCGAUACGGGCAGACUUGAGUACUGCAGGGGAGACUGGAAUUCCUGGUGUAGCGGUGGAAUGCGCAGAUAUCUGGAGGAAUACCGGUGGCGAAGGCGGCAUCCUGGACCGACAUUGACGCUGAUGAGCGAAAGCUAGGGGAGCAAACGGG